AGCAGCCGCGGUAAUUCCAGCUCCAAUAGCGUAUAUUAAAGUUGUUGCAGUUAAAAAGCUCGUAGUUGAACUUCAGGCCUGUCCAGAUGGUCCGCCUUAAUUGGUGUGUACUGUCCUUGGGUGGGUCCUACCUUCUGGCGAAGCGGCAUGGCCUUAGUUGGUUGUGUUGGGGAACCAGGACUUUUACUGUGAAAAAAUUAGAGUGUUCAAAGCAGGCAUAUAUGCUCGAAUACAUUAGCAUGGAAUAAUGGAAUAGGACGAUGGUUCUAUUUUGUUGGUUCUAGGACCGUUGUAAUGAUUAAUAGGGAUAGUUGGGGGCAUUAGUAUUCAAUUGUCAGAGGUGAAAUUCUUGGAUUUAUUGAAGACUAACUACUGCGAAAGCAUUUGCCAAGGAUGUUUUCAUUAAUCAAGAACGAAAGUUAGGGGAUCGAAGACGAUCAGAUACCGUCGUAGUCUUAACCAUAAACUAUGCCGACUAGGAAUCGGGCGAUGUUGACAAAAUGACUCGCUCGGCACCUCAUG
rnacentral:rRNA from 1 species